rnacentral:rRNA from 1 species
CUACGGGAGGCAGCAGUGGGGAAUAUUGCACAAUGGACGAAAGUCUGAUGCAGCAACGCCGCGUGGAGGAUGACACAUUUCGGUGCGUAAACUCCUUUUAUAUAGGAAGAUGAUGACGGUACUAUAUGAAUAAGCGCCGGCUAACUCCGUGCCAGCAGCCGCGGUAAUACGGAGGGCGCAAGCGUUACUCGGAAUCACUGGGCGUAAAGAGCGUGUAGGCGGAUUAAUAAGUUGGGAGUGAAAUCCUAUGGCUCAACCAUAGAACUGCUUCCAAAACUGUUAAUCUAGAGUAUGGGAGAGGUAGAUGGAAUUUCUGGUGUAGGGGUAAAAUCCGUAGAGAUCAGAAGGAAUACCGAUUGCGAAGGCGAUCUACUGGAACAUUACUGACGCUGAGACGCGAAAGCGUGGGGAGCAAACAGGAUUAGAUACCCGCGUAGUC